rnacentral:rRNA from 1 species
AGUCGAGCGAGAAGGUGUAGCAAUACACUUGUAAAGCGGCGAACGGGUGAGGAAUGCAUGGGUAACCUACCCUCGAGUGGGGAAUAACUAGCCGAAAGGUUGGCUAAUACCGCAUACGUUUCCGGAACUUCGGUUUCGGAAAGAAAGCAAUACCGUGGGUAUUGCGCUCCUGGAUGGGCUCAUGUCCUAUCAGCUUGUUGGUGAGGUAACGGCUCACCAAGGCUUCGACGGGUAGCUGGUCUGAGAGGACGAUCAGCCACACUGGCACUGCGACACGGGCCAGACUCCUACGGGAGGCAGCAGUAAGGAAUAUUGCGCAAUGGACGAAAGUCUGACGCAGCGACGCCGCGUGGGGGAUGAAGGUCUUCGGAUUGUAAACCCCUUUCGGGAGGGAAGAUGGAGUGGGUAACCACUUGGACGGUACCUCCAGAAGCAGCCACGGCUAACUUCGUGCCAGCAGCCGCGGUAAUACGAAGGUGGCAAGCGUUGUUCGGAUUCACUGGGCGUACAGGGAGCGUAGGCGGUUGGGUAAGCCCUCCGUGAAAUCUCCGGGCCUAACCCGGAAAGUGCAGAG